rnacentral:rRNA from 1 species
AACGAACGCUGGCGGCAGGCCUAACACAUGCAAGUCGAGCGCGCCCUUCGGGGUGAGCGGCGGACGGGUGAGUAACGCGUGGGAACGUGCCCUUCUCUGCGGAAUAGCCUCGGGAAACUGAGAGUAAUACCGCAUACGCCCUUUGGGGGAAAGAUUUAUCGGAGAAGGAUCGGCCCGCGUUGGAUUAGGUAGUUGGUGGGGUAAUGGCCCACCAAGCCGACGAUCCAUAGCUGGUUUGAGAGGAGGAUCAGCCACACUGGGACUGAGACACGGCCCACACUCCUACGGGAGGCAGCGGUGGGGAAUCUUAGACAAUGGGGGCAACCCUGAUCUAGCCAUGCCGCGUGAGUGAUGAAGGCCUUAGGGUUGUAAAGCUCUUUCAGCUGGAAAGAUAAUGACGGUACCAGCAGAAGAAGCCCCGGCUAACUCCGUG